rnacentral:rRNA from 1 species
AGAGUUUGAUCCUGGCUCAGGACGAACGCUGGCGGCGGGCUUAACACAUGCAAGUCGAACGAGGUCCAUCUUGUAGCAAUACAAGUGAAGACCUAGUGGCGAACGGGUGAGGAACACGUGAGAAAUUUGCCCCGAACUUUGGGAUAACAGUUGGAAACGACUGCUAAUACCGAAUGCCGUUACGAGGUGGCAUCACUUUGUAACGAAAGAAUUUCGGUUCGGGAGAAUCUCGCGGCCUAUCAGCUUGUUGGUGAGGUAACGGCUCACCAAGGCUACGACGGGUAGCUGGUCUGAGAGGAUGAUCAGCCACACUGGGACUGAGACACGGCCCAGACUCCUACGGGAGGCAGCAGUGGGGAAUCUUGUGCAAUGGACGAAAGUCUGACACAGCCACGCCGCGUGCGGGAAGAAGGCCUUCGGGUUGUAAACCGCUUUCAGCAGGAACGAAAAUGACGGUACCUGCAGAAGAAGGAGCGGCCAACUACGUGCCAGCAGCCGCGGUGACACGUAGGCUCCAAGCGUUGUCCGGAUUUAUUGGGCGUAAAGAGCUCGUAGGCGGUUCAGCAGGUCGGGUGUGAAAACUCUGGGCUCAACCCAGAGCCUGCACCCGAAACUGCUGUGACUAGAGUUCGGUAGGGGAGUGGGGAAUUCCUAGUGUAGCGGUGAAAUGCGCAGAUAUUANNANGAACACCGAUGGCGANNNCACCACUCUGGGCCGAAACUGACACUGA